UUUUCUCAUUUUUCAGCAGACUCCAGAUAGAAGUUCUUUCCAGAUGUAAAGUGAAUUGAUGGAAUCUUGAAAAAGUGUUUUGAGUGUUGGUGUUGUCCAGAUAUAAAAAAAAAUGAGCAGCUGCCAGAUGAAUGUACUUUCCAGAUGUAAACCAUCACAAAUGAUGCCUGUUUGUAUUUACCAGUGUUGAAAAAGUGAUCAAAUUUGAUGUGGGAUGAUUCAAAACAAAUCUUCAAAUUGACAAUGGCAAAAAGCAAGUGGAAAUGGAAUACUGCAGUUGAUGAAAAUGGUCUGCUCAGCUCUGCAAAGCCAUCGACUUGAGUACAUUGGUUAUUUUCCCUGUACUAAUAAAAUGAAAAUAAAAUUUGUUUAAAAAUUU